AUUGAACGCUGGCGGCAUGCCUUACACAUGCAAGUCGAACGGCAGCACGGGAGCAAUCCUGGUGGCGAGUGGCGAACGGGUGAGUAAUAUAUCGGAACGUGCCCAGUCGUGGGGGAUAACGCAGCGAAAGCUGUGCUAAUACCGCAUACGAUCUACGGAUGAAAGUGGGGGAUCGCAAGACCUCGCGCGAUUGGAGCGGCCGAUAUCAGAUUAGCUAGUUGGUGGGGUAAAAGCCCACCAAGGCGACGAUCUGUAGCUGGUCUGAGAGGACGACCAGCCACACUGGAACUGAGACACGGUCCAGACUCCUACGGGAGGCAGCAGUGGGGAAUUUUGGACAAUGGGCGCAAGCCUGAUCCAGCAAUGCCGCGUGCAGGAUGAAGGCCUUCGGGUUGUAAACUGCUUUUGUACGGAGCGAAACGGCUUCCCCUAAUACGGGGAGCUAAUGACGGUACCGUAAGAAUAAGCACCGGCUAACUACGUGCCAGCAGCCGCGGUAAUACGUAGGGUGCGAGCGUUAAUCGGAAUUACUGGGCGUAAAGCGUGCGCAGGCGGUUAUAUAAGACAGAUGUGAAAUCCCCGGGCUCAACCUGGGACCUGCAUUUGUGACUGUAUAGCUAGAGUACGGUAGAGGGGGAUGGAAUUCCGCGUGUAGCAG
rnacentral:rRNA from 1 species